UUGAAGAAUUUUACGAGUGGUUUAUGGAGACCAGAGAUCGCAUCGCGCGCGAGAAGAACGAGGAGGCGAACAAGAGCUUGUACGGUCAGUCCGGCUAUGCGGAAGACGUCGAGCGGGCACAGGAGAGAC
rnacentral:SRP_RNA from 1 species